GACGAACGCUGGCGGCGUGCCCAAUACAUGCAAGUAGAACGCUGAAGAGAGGAGCUUGCUCUUCUUGGAUGAGUUGCGAACGGGUGAGUAACGCGUAGGUAACCUGCCUUGUAGCGGGGGAUAACUAUUGGAAACGAUAGCUAAUACCGCAUAACAAUGGAUGACACAUGUCAUUUAUUUGAAAGGGGCAAUUGCUCCACUACAAGAUGGACCUGCGUUGUAUUAGCUAGUAGGUGAGGUAAUGGCUCACCUAGGCGACGAUACAUAGCCGACCUGAGAGGGUGAUCGGCCACACUGGGACUGAGACACGGCCCAGACUCCUACGGGAGGCAGCAGUAGGGAAUCUUCGGCAAUGGGGGCAACCCUGACCGAGCAACGCCGCGUGAGUGAAGAAGGUUUUCGGAUCGUAAAGCUCUGUUGUAAGUCAAGAACGGGUGUGAGAGUGGAAAGUUCACACUGUGACGGUAGCUUACCAGAAAGGGACGGCUAACUACGUGCCAGCAGCCGCGGUAAUACGUAGGUCCCGAGCGUUGUCCGGAUUUAUUGGGCGUAAAGCGAGCGCAGGCGGUUUGAUAAGUCUGAAGUUAAAGGCUGUGGCUCAACCAUAGUUCGCUUUGGAAACUGUCAAACUUGAGUGCAGAAGGGGAGAGUGGAAUUCCAUGUGUAGCGGUGAAAUGCGUAGAUAUAUGGAGGAACACCGGUGGCGAAAGCGGCUCUCUGGUCUGUAACUGACGCUGAGGCUCGAAAGCGUGGGGAGCGAACAGGAUUAGAUACCCUGGUAGUCCACGCCGUAAACGAUGAGUGCUAGGUGUUGGAUCCUUUCCGGGAUUCAGUGCCGCAGCUAACGCAUUAAGCACUCCGCCUGGGGAGUACGACCGCAAGGUUGAAACUCAAAGGAAUUGACGGGGGCCCGCACAAGCGGUGGAGCAUGUGGUUUAAUUCGAAGCAACGCGAAGAACCUUACCAGGUCUUGACAUCCCGAUGCUAUUUCUAGAGAUAGAAAGUUACUUCGGUACAUCGGUGACAGGUGGUGCAUGGUUGUCGUCAGCUCGUGUCGUGAGAUGUUGGGUUAAGUCCCGCAACGAGCGCAACCCCUAUUGUUAGUUGCCAUCAUUCAGUUGGGCACUCUAGCGAGACUGCCGGUAAUAAACCGGAGGAAGGUGGGGAUGACGUCAAAUCAUCAUGCCCCUUAUGACCUAGGCUACACACGUGCUACAAUGGUUGGUACAACGAGUUGCGAGUCGGUGACGGCGAGCUAAUCUCUUAAAGCCAAUCUCAGUUCGGAUUGUAGGCUGCAACUCGCCUACAUGAAGUCGGAAUCGCUAGUAAUCGCGGAUCAGCACGCCGCGGUGAAUACGUUCCCGGGCCU
rnacentral:rRNA from 1 species